AAUCCGACACUUCGUGAAUUUGCUUUACAAUGAUAGGAAGAGUCGACAUCGAAGUAUAAAAAAGCAACGUUGUUAUGAACGCUUGGCUGCCACAAACUAGUUAUCCCUGUGGUAACUUUUUUGACACCUCUAGCUUCAAAUUUCAAAGGUCUGAAGGAUCGUUAGGCCACGCUUUCAAGGUUCGUAUUUGCACUAUAAAUCAGAAUCAAACGAGCUUUUACUCUUCUGUUCCACACGAAAUUUUUGUUCUUGUUGAGCUCAUCUUAGGACACCUGCAUUAUCUUUUAACAGAUGUGCCAUCUCAGCGAAACUCCUCAUCGACAAUGUCUUUAGCUCGGAUCAGCCCGCGAAGUGAGCCUUGGG
rnacentral:lncRNA from 1 species